rnacentral:rRNA from 1 species
AGCAGCCGCGGUAAUUCCAGCUCCAACAGCGUAUAUUAAAGUUGUUGCAGUUAAAAAGCUCGUAGUUGAAUUUCGGGGUUAGUAGGUUGGUCAUGCCUCUGGUAUGUACUGGUCUCACUGAUUCCUCCUUCCUUAUGAACCGUAAUGCCAUUAAUUUGGUGUCGCGGGGAAUUUGGACUGUUACUUUGAAAAAUUAGAGUGUUUAAAGCAAGCUAAACGCUUGAAUACAUUAGCAUGGAAUAAUGAAAUAGGACGUUCGAUCUUAUUUUGUUGGUUUCUAGGAUUGACGUAAUGAUUAAUAGGGAUAGUUGGGGGCAUUAGUAUUCAAUUGUCAGAGGUGAAAUUCUUGGAUUUAUUGAAGACUAACUACUGCGAAAGCAUUUGCCAAGGAUGUUUUCAUUAAUCAAGAACGAAAGUUAGGGGAUCGAAGACGAUCAGAUACCGUCGUAGUCUUAACCAUAAACUAUGCCGACUAGGGAUCGGAUGAUGUAAUUUUUUAAUGACUCAUUCGGCGCCUUAC